GAGGGUAUAGCUCAGUGGUAAAGCAUGCGCUUAGCAUGCAUGAGGUCCUGGGUUCAAUCCCCAGCACCUCCA
rnacentral:tRNA from 1 species